GCUUAGCUCAGUUGGUAGAGCAACUGACUUUUAAUCAGUAGGUCACAGGUUCGACCCCUGUAG
rnacentral:tRNA from 1 species